UUAAGCGACUAAGCGUACACGGUGGAUGCCCUGGCAGUCAGAGGCGAUGAAGGACGUGCUAAUCUGCGAAAAGCGUCGGUAAGGUGAUAUGAACCGUUAUAGCCGGCGAUGUCCGAAUGGGGAAACCCAGUGUGAUUCGUCACACUAUCGUUAACUGAAUACAUAGGUUAACGAGGCGAACCGGGGGAACUGAAACAUCUAAGUACCCCGAGGAAAAGAAAUCAACCGAGAUUCCCCCAGUAGCGGCGAGCGAACGGGGAGGAGCCCAGAGCCUGAAUCAGUGUGUGUGUUAGUGGAAGCGUCUGGAAAGGCGCGCGAUACAGGGUGACAGCCCCGUACACAAAAAUGCACAUAUUGUGAGCUCGAUGAGUAGGGCGGGACACGUGGUAUCCUGUCUGAAUAUGGGGGGACCAUCCUCCAAGGCUAAAUACUCCUGACUGACCGAUAGUGAACCAGUACCGUGAGGGAAAGGCGAAAAGAACCCCGGCGAGGGGAGUGAAAAAGAACCUGAAACCGUGUACGUACAAGCAGUGGGAGCACCUUCGGGUGUGACUGCGUACCUUUUGUAUAAUGGGUCAGCGACUUAUAUUCUGUAGCAAGGUUAACCGUAUAGGGGAGCCGCAGGGAAACCGAGUCUUAACUGGGCGUUAAGUUGCAGGGUAUAGACCCGAAACCCGGUGAUCUAGCCAUGGGCAGGUUGAAGGUUGGGUAACACUAACUGGAGGACCGAACCGACUAAUGUUGAAAAAUUAGCGGAUGACUUGUGGCUGGGGGUGAAAGGCCAAUCAAACCGGGAGAUAGCUGGUUCUCCCCGAAAGCUAUUUAGGUAGCGCCUCGUGAAUUCAUCUUCGGGGGUAGAGCACUGUUUCGGCUAGGGGGUCAUCCCGACUUACCAACCCGAUGCAAACUACGAAUACCGAAGAAUGUUAUCACGGGAGACACACGGCGGGUGCUAACGUCCGUCGUGAAGAGGGAAACAACCCAGACCGCCAGCUAAGGUCCCAAAGUCAUGGUUAAGUGGGAAACGAUGUGGGAAGGCACAGACAGCCAGGAUGUUGGCUUAGAAGCAGCCAUCAUUUAAAGAAAGCGUAAUAGCUCACUGGUCGAGUCGGCCUGCGCGGAAGAUGUAACGGGGCUAAACCAUGCACCGAAGCUGCGGCAGCGACACUAUGUGUUGUUGGGUAGGGGAGCGUUCUGUAAGCCUGCGAAGGUGUGCUGUGAGGCAUGCUGGAGGUAUCAGAAGUGCGAAUGCUGACAUAAGUAACGAUAAAGCGGGUGAAAAGCCCGCUCGCCGGAAGACCAAGGGUUCCUGUCCAACGUUAAUCGGGGCAGGGUGAGUCGACCCCUAAGGCGAGGCCGAAAGGCGUAGUCGAUGGGAAACAGGUUAAUAUUCCUGUACUUGGUGUUACUGCGAAGGGGGGACGGAGAAGGCUAUGUUAGCCGGGCGACGGUUGUCCCGGUUUAAGCAUGUAGGCUGGUUAUCCAGGCAAAUCCGGAUAAUCAAGGCUGAGGUGUGAUGACGAGGCACUACGGUGCUGAAGUAACAAAUGCCCUGCUUCCAGGAAAAGCCUCUAAGCAUCAGGUAACAUCAAAUCGUACCCCAAACCGACACAGGUGGUCAGGUAGAGAAUACCAAGGCGCUUGAGAGAACUCGGGUGAAGGAACUAGGCAAAAUGGUGCCGUAACUUCGGGAGAAGGCACGCUGGUGUGUAGGUGAAGCCCCUGCGGGUGGAGCUGAGACCAGUCGAAGAUACCAGCUGGCUGCAACUGUUUAUUAAAAACACAGCACUGUGCAAACACGAAAGUGGACGUAUACGGUGUGACGCCUGCCCGGUGCCGGAAGGUUAAUUGAUGGGGUUAGCGGUAACGCGAAGCUCUUGAUCGAAGCCCCGGUAAACGGCGGCCGUAACUAUAACGGUCCUAAGGUAGCGAAAUUCCUUGUCGGGUAAGUUCCGACCUGCACGAAUGGCGUAAUGAUGGCCAGGCUGUCUCCACCCGAGACUCAGUGAAAUUGAACUCGCUGUGAAGAUGCAGUGUACCCGCGGCAAGACGGAAAGACCCCGUGAACCUUUACUAUAGCUUGACACUGAACAUUGAGCCUUGAUGUGUAGGAUAGGUGGGAGGCUUUGAAGCGUGGACGCCAGUCUGCGUGGAGCCAACCUUGAAAUACCACCCUUUAAUGUUUGAUGUUCUAACGUUGGCCCCUUACCGGGGUUGCGGACAGUGUCUGGUGGGUAGUUUGACUGGGGCGGUCUCCUCCCAAAGCGUAACGGAGGAGCACGAAGGUUAGCUAAUCCUGGUCGGACAUCAGGAGGUUAGUGCAAUGGCAUAAGCUAGCUUGACUGCGAGCGUGACGGCGCGAGCAGGUGCGAAAGCAGGUCAUAGUGAUCCGGUGGUUCUGAAUGGAAGGGCCAUCGCUCAACGGAUAAAAGGUACUCCGGGGAUAACAGGCUGAUACCGCCCAAGAGUUCAUAUCGACGGCGGUGUUUGGCACCUCGAUGUCGGCUCAUCACAUCCUGGGGCUGAAGUAGGUCCCAAGGGUAUGGCUGUUCGCCAUUUAAAGUGGUACGCGAGCUGGGUUUAGAACGUCGUGAGACAGUUCGGUCCCUAUCUGCCGUGGGCGCUGGAGAACUGAGGGGGGCUGCUCCUAGUACGAGAGGACCGGAGUGGACGCAUCACUGGUGUUCGGGUUGUCAUGCCAAUGGCACUGCCCGGUAGCUAAAUGCGGAAGAGAUAAGUGCUGAAAGCAUCUAAGCACGAAACUUGCCCCGAGAUGAGUUCUCCCUGAGACUUAGAGUCUCCUGAAGGAACGUUGAAGACGACGACGUUGAUAGGCCGGGUGUGUAAGCGCAGCGAUGCGUUGAGCUAACCGGUACUAAUGAACCGUGAGGCUUAACCUU
rnacentral:rRNA from 1 species